UUAUCCGGAUUUAUUGGGUGUAAAGGGAGCGUAGAUGGAUGUGUAAGUCAGUUGUGAAAGUGUGCGGCUCAACCGUAAAAUUGCAGUUGAUACUGGAUGUCUUGAGUGCAGUUGAGGCAGGCGGAAUUCGUGGUGUAGCGGUGAAAUGCUUAGAUAUCACGAAGAACUCCGAUUGCGAAGGCAGCCUGCUAAGCUGCAACUGACAUUGAGGCUCGAAAGUGUGGGUAUCAAACAGGAUUAGAUACCCUGGUAGUCCACACGGUAAACGAUGAAUACUCGCUGUUUGCGAUAUACGGCAAGCGGCCAAGCGAAAGCGUUAAGUAUUCCACCUGGGGAGUACGCCGGCAACGGUGAAACUCAAAGGAAUCGACGGGGGCCCGCACAAGCGGAGGAACAUGUGGUUUAAUUCGAUGAUACGCGAGGAA
rnacentral:rRNA from 1 species